rnacentral:rRNA from 1 species
GUGAGGAAUUUUCCGCAAUGGGCGAAAGCCUGACGGAGCAAUGCCGCGUGAAGGAUGAAGGCCUAUGGGUUGUAAACUUCUUUUCUCAGAAAAGAAUUAUGACGGUAUCUGAGGAAUAAGCAUCGGCUAACUCUGUGCCAGCAGCCGCGGUAAGACAGAGGAUGCAAGCGUUAUCCGGAAUGAUUGGGCGUAAAGCGUCUUUAGGUUGUUUAAAAAGUAUUAUGUCAAAGAUUAGGGCUUAACCCUAGAUAGGCAGAAUAAACUUUUAAGCUAGAGUUUGGUAGAGGCAGAGGGAAUUCCCGGUGGAGCGGUGAAAUGCGUAGAUAUCGGGAGGAACACCAAAGGCGAAGGCACUCUGCUGGGCCAAUACUAACACUGAGAGACGAAAGCGAGGGGAGCAAAUGGGAUUAGAUACCCGGGUAGUCC